GAUGAACGCUGGCGGCGUGCCUAAUACAUGCCAGUCGAGCGAACGGACGAGAAGCUUGCUUCUCUGAUGUUAGCGGCGGACGGGUGAGUAACACGUGGAUAACCUACCUAUAAGACUGGGAUAACUUCGGGAAACCGGAGCUAAUACCGGAUAAUAUUUUGAACCGCAUGGUUCAAAAGUGAAAGACGGUCUUGCUGUCACUUAUAGAUGGAUCCGCGCUGCAUUAGCUAGUUGGUAAGGUAACGGCUUACCAAGGCAACGAUGCAUAGCCGACCUGAGAGGGUGAUCGGCCACACUGGAACUGAGACACGGUCCAGACUCCUACGGGAGGCAGCAGUAGGGAAUCUUCCGCAAUGGGCGAAAGCCUAACGGAGCAACGCCGCGUGAGUGAUGAAGGUCUUCGGAUCGUAAAACUCUGUUAUUAGGGAAGAACAUAUGUGUAAGUAACUGUGCACAUCUUGACGGUACCUAAUCAGAAAGCCACGGCUAACUACGUG
rnacentral:rRNA from 1 species